UACGAGGGGGGCGAGCGUUGUUCGGAAUUAUUGGGCGUAAAGGGUGCGUAGGCGGUUUGGUAAGUCUCGUGUGAAAUCUCCGGGCUCAACUCGGAGCCUGCACGAGAAACUGCCGGGCUUGAGUGUGGGAGAGGUGAGUGGAAUUCCUGGUGUAGCGGUGAAAUGCGUAAAUAUCAGGAGGAACACCUGUGGCGAAAGCGGCUCACUGGACCAUAACUGACGCUGAUGCACGAAAGCUAGGGGAGCAAACAGG
rnacentral:rRNA from 1 species